UACGAAGGGGGCUAGCGUUGCUCGGAAUUACUGGGCGUAAAGGGCGCGUAGGCGGACAGUUUAGUCAGAGGUGAAAGCCCAGGGCUCAACCUUGGAAUUGCCUUUGAUACUGGCUGUCUUGAGUUCGGGAGAGGUGAGUGGAAUGCCAAGUGUAGAGGUGAAAUUCGUAGAUAUUCGGCGGAACACCAGUGGCGAAGGCGACUCACUGGCCCGAUACUGACGCUGAGGCGCGAAAGCGUGGGGAGCAACAGGG
rnacentral:rRNA from 1 species